GUGCUCGCUGCGGCAGCACAGAUACUGACAUUGGAACCACACAGGGAAGGUUAGCAUGACCCCUGUGCAAGGAUCACACACACACACACACACACACACACACACACA